UCGGAUUCAACGUCGACAUCGCGCCGCGGAGCCGUUCGAGGAUACGGUUGCAGUCGUAGCAUCGCGAGGAGUCCGGGCGAGGGCGUGGUUUCGCCGUUCUCGACGUCGCCCCGCGUUGGAUUUAGCAUACGAGGUGGGUUUAUCAUCGGAAUCCUACUCCUAUAAUAUUGUUCAUCGACAUGUAUCGUUAAUAUUACAAGUUGUUAUUGUUUGUUUAGCUCAAAUUCAUAAGUAGGUAUGUUUUAGACAUAUAAACUGAAUUGGGAGCAUGUUAUUAGUUGUUAUUAAUCAUACAUGUGGGACUUGGAUAAAACAUAGGAGAAAAUCAGCGUUCGGAAUCUGGCAUAUGUUGAAUUACCUGAUUUAGCCUUAGGGGCCGUUGUAUUUUUAUACAGUUAUUGUAUUCGGGUUGUGAGUACCCCAGGUAGUUUAGAAGGCAUUUACGCUCGUGCUGAGAUGCCGAGCUUAUUUUUCAGCAGAGUUUAGGCUGUUUCGGGUCGUUGGGUGCCGUUCGGGUUAGCGGUGGACCCAGAUUCUUGUUUUGGUCACAGAUUGUGCCGAGGGCACGUGGGUUUGGUUUGUAGACCUGUUUUGACCCUGUUUACUUGACUUUGGCUAGUUGGAGCCUGUUUGAGCUCGACAGAGAUACGCUGCAUACUCGGUUGGGUAGCGCCCACGAGUGCCACUCCGGAGUCAGGCUUUGUGCUUUCGCGUUGGUGUCGCUCAUGCCAGUUGGACUUGCUCUCCACGGACCAGUUAGUGUGGAUAGAGCUUGACAGUCACAACGGGGCAGGGACGGGUGUAUUCACAGUCCCGGGGACGGGUAUGCUUACAGUCCCGAUUGGAUUGGGUCAGGUUGGACAUUUCCUACAGUUGGUUAGUGUAGAGCAUGAUAGUGUAGUAUUUGAUAGCGGUAGACUUUAUUCCUGCAUUUCACUACUAUUCUUGCUCCCUUCUGUAGACUUAGUGGGUAGACCGAUGUUGUUUUGGGCGGUACCCACUGAGGACUACUUGUUUUUACAGUAGUUCUCACGCCCAGUUGUUACCUAUGUUUUUGCAGAGCCACAGGUUCCGGCUGCUGCACCGUCCGCGGAUCAGGAUCGAGGCAAGGGCGUUGCGAGUUAGAGCCCUACCCGACGUGCUGAGCUAGAGGUGCUCCUACUGCAGGUAGAUGUUUUGUUUCGAGUUUAUGUACAUAGUGGACUUAACUCGCCAGUGCGAGUAGCUUUGUAUUUUGGAUCUGGACUAUGUAUAUGAAACUCAGUUUGUUUAGCUUCUGUUCUCUCCAGCAGCUCUCUACUACUGUUCGUGGUAGUGUUUGAUUUUCUGGUACAGCUAUCGCUUCGUAUACAGGGAAAAUUCCUUUGUAUACGGCGGAUUUGUCGGCGCGCCCGGGGAAAGUGUAAUCCGGGGCGUGACAGAUUAAUUUGGUAUCAGAGCUUAGCUAUAGGUCGUUGGGACCUAGAAAACCUAAGUUUGGCGAACCUUAGGAAAGCAAGACGCGAGAGGCGGAAUUUAUUGCGAAAGUCAAUGAUUAUUUGUUCUAACUCCUCCUAGAGUGGAGUGAGUGACUGAAGGAGUUCCUGUUUUGGCCUGAGAAAUUAUGUUGGCUGCAGACGACAUAAUUUUGGAGGGAAACAGGGACCGCCUUCUAGACUUUCGUUGAUUGGGUCGAUAGUGUUGUGUUGUAUCUGACCCCGAUUUGUUCUUUUCAGCUAUGUAUCGUCGCCGAGGUCGACCGUCGUUGCGGGAGCGUGCCCAGUUGGCGCGGGAUCGUGUGGGAUCUCCCGAGAUGCCUGAGCAGGCAGAGGCGAGUGCACCCCCAGUUGUAGAGCAGAGGGCCCGACCGGAGGCGAGUGCAUCCCCAGAUUUGAGUGCACAGUUGGCUGCCCUGACUGAGGUGACGAGACAGCAGGGGGAGCUAUUGCAGAGGUUGUGUGAGAGGAUAGCUCAGCCACCGAGUUCUGUACCGAGGGCACCAGAGUCGCCAGUUCCACCCCCGACUACUCCAGUGACAGCACCAGCUGCAGCAGUUCCUCCAUCGGCAGCAGUUCCAGUAGCGCCAGUUGCGCCUGCUAGGGGGCCAGUACCGUUGACUGAGGCUGAGCAGGAGCGGUGGACGGAGAGGUUAGCUCGUUUUCGCCGAUUUGAUCCACCGAUCUUCGAUGGCAGAGGCACUGAGGCCUGGAUUGUUGAGGGAUGGGUCAGUGCGAUGGAGAAGUUAUUCGAGGAUCUGUUCGUUCCAGAGGGGGAGCAGGUACCCCUGGGAGUACACUGUCUAGCAGGUGAUGCUCAUGACUGGUGGCGGAGAACGAGGCGAGACCAGGGGCUAGUGGCGGCGCAGCUGAGUUGGGAUGAGUUCUGUGGAAUGCUGUUUGGGAUGUUCUUUCCCAACAGUGUGAAGCAGAAGCUCGAGGAGGAUUUGAGGAGGCUUCAGCAGGGAGAUCGCCCAGUGCAGGAGUACGUUCGGGAGUUUACUCGACUCCUGAACUGUGUACCAUUUGCGGCCAGAGACGAGGCGCACAGAGUAUACAUGUUCGAGCAGGGGCUGAGACCGGACAUCUUCAGGUUAGUGCGGGCGCAGAGGUCGAGGACCCUGGAUGCGUCCAUAGAGCAGGCCCUAUGGGUGGAGAGAGGUGAGGUGUCGCUGCAGGAGAGGACUCAGGCCGUGGGGCAGGGUCAGGACAGGAAGCGCCCCUUUCCAGAUGACGGAGGGCAGUCGAGCAGCAGACGUCCGCCGAGACCUCCACGAUCACGUUCUCAGGGUCGUGGGUCUUCGGGGCGUCAGCGUUCCAGGGGAUCCCGUCAGCAGGGGCAGACUCAGAGGACGCCACAGUGUGUGAUCUGCGGGGGACCACACUGGCCUCGGCAGUGCGAGCAGAGAGAGGGCAGGUGCUACGGAUGUGGUCAGCCGGGACACAUGAGGGCAGCUUGUCCCCGAGCAGCAUCUCCAGCACCGUCAUCAGCUUCGGCACCACCAGCACCACAGCAGUCUUACGGAGCAGCACCGAGCUACCGCCAGGAGGACAGAUCGUCUGUGCCGCGGUCGAGUGAGCGGCGACAGCAGGCUCCGAGUGGCAGGGUCUAUGCAGCUCAGGUGGAGGACUCUUCAGCAGCCGACCGAGUGGUGGCAGGUAUCACUUUGAUUUCUGGCAUUAGAGUUCGCACUCUUUUUGAUACCGGUGCAUCGCAUUCCUUUGUUAGCCGAGCAUUUGCAUUGUUGCAUGGUCUAGAGUUAGGAGCGUUGUCUCAGGCACGAGAGGUGCAGAUCCCCGACCAUGUCUUGCAGGUUACAGAGUGUUGUUGGUCCUGUCCGGUGCAGUUAGACUCUUGGAUCAUGCCCGCAGACCUGUUGGUGUUAGGGCAGCUGCAGGACUUCGACGUAGUGCUCGGUAUGGAUUGGCUGGCGCGGUACUAUGCUACGAUCGACUGUGGAGCGAGGACGGUGACGUUCCGCGAGCCAGGCCAGGAGGAGUUUACUUUCAGAGGCUGCAGGAGCACGCUGUUUGCCACCUGGAUAUCUUCGGCGAGGGCUCGACAGAUGCUGAGCAGUGGGUGUAUCGCUUUCCUAGCGACAGUUGUGGAGGUACCUACGGCGGCGCCGAGACUCGAGGACAUCCCAGUAGUCCGCGAGUUUUCGGAUGUGUUUCCCCCUGAGUUGACGACAUUGCCGCCGGAGAGGGAGAUUGAGUUUGUGAUUGAUGUAGUUCCUGGAACUGCACCAAUCUCAAAGGUACCUUACAGGAUGGCACCGGCAGAGCUGAGAGAGCUAAAGGCGCAACUUCAGGAUCUGAUGGAUAGAGGGUUUGUGAGACCCAGUGUGUCGCCUUGGGGAGCGCCGGUGUUAUUUGUAAAGAAGAAGGAUGGUUCGCUCAGGUUAUGUGUGGAUUACCGGGAGCUGAAUAAAGUGACCAUCAAGAACAAGUAUCCUCUGCCGCGCAUUGAUGAUCUAUUCGAUCAGCUGCAAGGAUCUUGUGUCUUUUCGAAGAUUGAUCUCCAGUCAGGUUACCACCAGCUGAGGGUGAGGGCCGAGGAUGUUCCCAAGACGGCUUUUCGGACUCGGUACGGGCAUUAUGAGUUCACGGUGAUGCCUUUUGGAUUGACGAAUGCCCCUGCCGCAUUCAUGGAUUUGAUGAACAGAGUGUUCAAGCCGUUCUUGGAUAGGUUUGUGGUAGUCUUCAUCGACGAUAUCCUGAUUUACUCCCGGAGUGAUGCUGAGCAUGAGGAGCACUUGAGGAUUGUGCUACAGCUUCUGCGCGAGAAGAAGUUGUAUGCCAAGUUAAAGAAGUGCGAGUUCUGGCUACGGGAGGUUGCUUUCUUGGGCCACGUGAUUUCAGCUGAGGGCGUAGCAGUGGACCCGAAGAAGAUUGAGGCGAUUCGAGAUUGGCCUAGACCGACGACGGUUACUGAGGUACGGAGCUUCCUGGGACUGGCAGGAUAUUACCGUCGGUUUGUGGAAGGCUUUGCGAAGCUUUCCACACCCCUCACACGCUUGACGCGGAAGGGGAUUCGUUUUGUCUGGAGCGACGACUGUCAGAGGAGCUUUGACGAGUUGAGAUUGAGGUUGAUGUCGGCUCCUAUCCUUGCCCUUCCUGUUAUGGGCGAAGGAUUUGUGAUCUACAGUGAUGCAUCGCACAGUGGACUUGGUUGCGUGCUGAUGCAGCAUGGUAGGGUGAUUGCUUAUGCUUCACGGCAGUUAAAGGAUUAUGAGAAGAAUUACCCUACGCAUGACUUGGAGCUUGCCGCGGUGGUUUUUGCUUUGAAGCUCUGGCGGCAUUACUUGUACGGCGAGCACUGCGAGAUUUUUACUGAUCAUAAAAGUCUCAAGUAUCUGUUCACCCAAAAGGAGUUGAAUUUGAGACAGCGCCGGUGGUUGGAGUUGCUGAAGGAUUAUGACAUCAGUAUCCAGUAUCAUCCCGGCAAGGCGAAUGUGGUGGCAGAUGCGUUGAGCAGGAAGGCAGUGCAGAGCUUGAGUAUGUUGAUCACUCGGCAGAGACCGUUACUCGAGGAGCUGAGACGGCUGGGACUCGAGGUAGUGUCCCCUGGAUUUACUGCGAGAUUGAUGUCUAUGAUCUUGCAGCCCACUCUGUUAGAUAGGAUUCGAGAGAAACAGAGUGGGGAUCCACACUUGUCGAGGAUUCGAGAGCAGCUUGAGAGGGGACAGGCCGAGGGCUUUGUUGUGGACAGUUCGGGAGUACUGCGGUACAGGGACCGACUGUGUGUACCUAUGGAUUCAGAGAUCCGAGAGGACAUCUUGAGAGAGGCUCACUGUUCACCUUAUACGGUUCACCCCGGUGGAACCAAAAUGUAUAAGGAUUUAAAGGCUCAGUUUUGGUGGAAUGGAAUGAAGAGGGACAUUGGUAGAUUUGUGGCUCAGUGUCUGACUUGUCAACAGGUAAAGGCCGAGCAUCAGGUACCUGCUGGCAAGCUUCAGAGUCUACCAGUGCCCGAGUGGAAAUGGGAGCAGAUCACGAUGGACUUUGUCGUCGGAUUGCCGAGAGCACAGGGUGGUUUUGAUGCGAUUUGGGUGAUAGUGGACAGACUGACCAAGUCUGCUCACUUCUUACCAGUGCAGACCACUUGGUCCAGAGAGAGACUCGCUCAGUUGUACUUGGAUGAGAUAGUGAGGUUGCAUGGCGUGCCCACUUCGAUAGUAUCCGACCGGGACCCGAGGUUCGUAUCGCACUUCUGGAGGAGUCUUCAGACGGCCUUGGGCACUCAGUUGCAGUUCAGCACAGCAUUUCACCCACAGACAGAUGGUCAGUCAGAGCGGACCAUUCAGACUCUAGAGGACAUGCUGAGGGCAUGUGUCUUGGACUUUGGAGGAGGGUGGUAUCGGCAUUUGAGACUGGUUGAGUUUGCGUACAACAACAGCUAUCAAGCGAGCAUCCGGAUGGCUCCGUUUGAGGCGUUGUAUGGACGCAGAUGUCGAUCCCCUUUGUUUUGGAGUGAUGUGGGUGAGAGGAGGACGCUUGGGCCUGAGAUUCUGAUUGAGGCUGAGGAAAAGGUAAAAGAGGCGCGACGGCACAUAUUAGCAGCCCAGAGUCGACAGAGGAGCUAUGCUGAUACCCGGAGACGAGACUUGGAGUUCCAGGUGGGAGAUCAUGUUUUUCUUAAAGUCUCGCCGUCCAGAGGGAUUCGCCGAUUUGGUGUACGUGGAAAGCUCAGUCCACGUUUUGUAGGCCCUUUCGAGGUAUUGGAGCGAGUCGGGCCAGUUGCUUACAGGAUUGCUCUACCACCACGGCUAGCCGGCAUUCAUGAUGUGUUCCACGUCUCGGCUUUGAGGAAAUAUGUGUUCGACCCCUCCCACGUGAUCGACUUCACUCCGCUUGAGAUUGGCGAGGACCUGAGCUACGAGGAGCGACCGGUGCGGAUUCUGGCUCGUGAGUCGAGGGAAUUGCGCAACCGGGUCAUACCCUUUGUAAAGGUGCAGUGGAGUAAUCACGAGGAGCGGGAGGCGACUUGGGAGCCGGAGGCGGUGAUGAAGGAGUCCUACCCCUACCUGUUUGAGGCCCUGGAUUGAGGUAUGUGUACAGUUUCGCGGACGAAACUUUUUGUAGUGGGGGAGGAUGUAGUGUUCCUGAGCUUUGGAUAGGAUUGGCUUCAGUAUUAUAGACUGGUCGACAUCUCUGGAGAGUGUCGGACUGAGUCGGAGUCAAUUCUGCACGAAUUGGAUGCAGAAUUGGACUCGGCGCACUCAAAUAAGCAAAACUGGAGUUUUGCCAGAUUCGGGCGCCCAGAACAUUGUUAGGGUCGCCCAGAAACGAGUGUUGAAUUUAACUGAAACUGGAAGCCAAUUCGGAUCCCAUGUUCCGGGCGCCCAGAAGUGGGUCCGGAAAUUUCACCUCGUGAAUAUCGCUUGCUUCGACGCGUGGCAGGGCGGUAGGUGAGUUCCGCCGGUGCCGUUUACGGGCGCAGCACACCGCGGGCGGAGAGUCCGAGGGGCCCAUUUUGUGCAGGCCGGAUGUUCUGGUCGCCCAGAACAUGGUUCCGGGCGCCCAGAAACGCCCGUUUCUGCAGGGGCACUGGAUUGCGGCUAUUUUUCCUGGGGCUUAUCUGAUCUAUCCAGCAGCCUAUAAAUAGCUGAGAAGCGCCCCCUUUGAGCUCUUUUACCUGUUCUUCACAGAGGACUUAGAUUUUACUCCCAAAUCCCUCAAAUCUUUCCAAUUUGCAUCAAGAUCCACCUCUCCAAGAAUUGCAAGGUGCUGAUUUUGCAGUUCUUCAGCGACGACCUCCAGUGUUUUGGCUCGUGCGUGACGUAGGAAGGUCGGAUUUCAACGAAACUUGGUUUGCUGGAUUCUUGACUUCCAGAGGAAUCCACGAAGCCCUAAUUUGCAGAAUUUGGUGAAGGUUAGCUCAGUCGAACUCAGGUUUUCCUCUGCUGUUGUUGCUUUGGACAGAAUUUGCCAAUUUUUGAUGUUUUCUUGGGGUGAACUUGGGAAGCAGGGGCUUUGUGGAGUUGAGUUAUUUUCCCUAUCACCCAGUACUGGAAUUGGGACCCUCUCCACCUGAUUUGGAGUUCGUUUGGUGAGUUUUGACAUUGGAAUUGAGAUAUUUAAGCUUAAAUGCUGUUUUGCUGAAAUUCAUCGUCGACUGUUAGUAUUUCAGCUCGUACUCGACGUAGGAGCAUCGGAUUUCGUCGAGACUUGAUUCGUUGGUUUCGGGACUGCGAGAAGAAUCCACGAAGUCCUUACUUGUGGAUUUUGGUGAAGGUUAGCUUGGUCGAAACCCUUCUCUUCUCUGCUGCUGUGUACUUGGACUGAAUUGUGGAUUUUGAUGAUUUUUAUUGGAUUUUUGGGUGCAUUGUAAAUCCAGAUCUUAAGGGGCUUUGUUGCUGGUUUGAAGAGGUUUCCAGCAGUGUUGCUUGAGGAUCCGAGACCCUAUUGCUGCCAGGAAUUGCAUUAGAGGUGGGUGUUUCAUCGGUUUCGCUCCUAAGUGCAUGUUAGUCAACGUGUAUAGUUCGAGUGUUGUAAAUCAUGCUUUAAUUCAUCGAUUAGCAUUUUGAAUGUAAUAUGAAUGUAGAAGCAUGCUGAAAUGAAUAUUUAAAUUAUACAUGUUGGACUUGAAAUUUGACUUAGGAGAAAACCUGCGUUUUGACCCGUCAUAUGCUUAAACUACCAGAUUUAGCUCUAGGAGCCGUGUUCGAUUGUAUCGUUGCCGAGUCAGUGCAAUGGAUACCUUGGGUAGUUUAGAAUGUAUUUACACUCGUGCUGGUUCGCCGAGUGAAUUUUUGCAGGGUCGUUCAGGCCGUUUCGGACUGUUGGGUGCCGUCAGAGUUGACGGUGGACCGUAUCGCCUUUUUGGCGUCAGAUUGUGCCGAGGGCACGUUACCUGUUGGUUGUUAGACCAGUUUAAGUCGAUUACUUGACUUUGGCUAGUUGGAGCCUGAUUGAGCUCGACAGAGAUACGCUGCAUACUCGGUUGGGUAGCGCCCACGAGUGCCACUCCGGAGUCAGGCUUUGUGCUUUCGCGUUGGUGUCGCUCAUGCCAGUUGGACUUGCUCUCCACGGACCAGUUAGUGUGGAUAGAGCCCGAUAGUCGCAACGGGGCAGGGACGGGUGUGUUCACAGUCCCAGGGACGGGUAUGUCUACAGUCCCGAUUGGAUUGGGUCAGAUUUGACAUUUCCUACAGUUGGUUAGUGUAGAGCAUGAUAGUAUAGUGAUUUGUAGCGGUUGAGUUUGUUUCCUGCUUUUCCUACUAUUCUUGCUCCCUCCUGUAGACUUAGUGGGUGGACCGAUGUUGUUUUGGGCGGUACCCACUGAGGACUACUUGUUUUUACAGUAGUUCUCACGCCCAGUUGUUACCUAUGUUUUUGCAGAGCCACAGGUUCCGGCUGCUGCACCGUCCGCGGAUCAGGAUCGAGGCAAGGGCGUUGCGAGUUAGAGCCCUACCCGACGUGCUGAGCUAGAGGUGCUCCUACUGCAGGUAGAUGUUUUGUUUCGAGUUUAUGUACAUAGUGGACUUAACUCGCCAGUGCGAGUAGCUUUGUAUUUUGGAUCUGGACUAUGUAUAUGAAACUAAGUUUGUUUAGCUUCUGUUCUCU
rnacentral:lncRNA from 1 species